GCUCCAGACUCCUACGGGAGGCAGCAGUGGGGGAUAUUGCACAAUGGGGGAAACCCUGAUGCAGCGGCGCCGCGUGUGGGAAGACGGUCCUCUGGAUUGUAAACCACUGUCCCCAGGGACGAAAAUGACGGUACCUGGGGAGGAAGCUCCGGCUAACUACGUGCCAGCAGCCGCGGUAAUACGUAGGGAGCGAGCGUUGUCCGGAAUUACUGGGUGUAAAGGGAGCGCAGACGGCAGCGCAAGCCAGGAGUGAAAGCCCGGGGCCCAACCCCGGGACUGCUCUUGGAACUGCGCGGCUGGAGUGCAGGAGGGGCAGGCGGAAUUCCUAGUGUAGCGGUGAAAUGCGUAGAUAUUAGGAGGAACACCAGUGGCGAAGGCGGCCUACUGGACGGUGACUGACGCUGAGGCUCGAAAGCGUGGGGAGCAAACAGGAUUAGAUACCCGAGUA
rnacentral:rRNA from 1 species